GUACACUCCUGCGGGAGGCAGCAGUGGGGAAUAUUGCACAAUGGGCGCAAGCCUGAUGCAGCCAUGCCGCGUGUAUGAAGAAGGCCUUCGGGUUGUAAAGUACUUUCAGCGGGGAGGAAGGCGAUAAGGUUAAUAACCUUGUUGAUUGACGUUACCCGCAGAAGAAGCACCGGCUAACUCCGUGCCAGCAGCCGCGGUAAUACGGAGGGUGCAAGCGUUAAUCGGAAUUACUGGGCGUAAAGCGCACGCAGGCGGUCUGUCAAGUCGGAUGUGAAAUCCCCGGGCUCAACCUGGGAACUGCAUUCGAAACUGGCAGGCUAGAGUCUUGUAGAGGGGGGUAGAAUUCCAGGUGUAGCGGUGAAAUGCGUAGAGAUCUGGAGGAAUACCGGUGGCGAAGGCGGCCCCCUGGACAAAGACUGACGCUCAGGUGCGAAAGCGUGGGGAGCAAACAGGAUUAGAUACCCGUGUAGUCCCAUG
rnacentral:rRNA from 1 species